rnacentral:rRNA from 1 species
ACCUUCUUGUCAAAGCCUUAUCUCAGAUCUCAGAAGUAAGCAGGGUUGGGCCUGGUUAGUACUUGGAUGGGAGACCACUGGGAAUACCAGGUG